rnacentral:rRNA from 1 species
GACGAACGCUGGCGGCGUGCUUAACACAUGCAAGUCGAACGGAAAGGCCCUGCUUUUGUGGGGUGCUCGAGUGGCGAACGGGUGAGUAACACGUGAGUAACCUGCCCUUGACUUUGGGAUAACUUCAGGAAACUGGGGCUAAUACCGGAUAGGAGCUCCUGCUGCAUGGUGGGGGUUGGAAAGUUUCGGCGGUUGGGGAUGGACUCGCGGCUUAUCAGCUUGUUGGUGGGGUAGUGGCUCACCAAGGCUUUAACGGGUAGCCGGCCUGAGAGGGUGACCGGCCACAUUGGGACUGAGAUACGGCCCAGACUCCUACGGGAGGCAGCAGUGGGGAAUAUUGCACAAUGGGCGGAAGCCUGAUGCAGCAACGCCGCGUGCGGGAUGACGGCCUUCGGGUUGUAAACCGCUUUCGCCUGUGACGAAGCGUGAGUGACGGUAAUGGGUAAAGAAGCACCGGCUAACUACGUG